rnacentral:misc_RNA from 1 species
AACCUUGUUUUCCCACUCAAAUUCAGCCCACAUAGUUCUAAAAGCAGCCUCACUGCAAACAGCAGGAGAGAUGUAAUCCAUGAUGUCAAUAUGGAUAUCAUUGAGCACAACAACAGUUCGCUCGAGCACAUUUGAAGACUCAUAGACAAUGUUACCAAAAAUCACUCCAGUCUCGGUGGAAGACACCUUGAUAUUAGCUUUUAUCUGCUUGCUUGACUCAGGAGCUAUAGUAUAAUUCUGUGGACGCUCAACGAGCUUAAGAUCACCCAUGGUUGCCAGUUCCAAACACAAAUUCUGAAGUGUCUCUUUGGUUCGAUUUAUCACGGUAACAUCUAGGACAAUGUCAUAAUGAUGAACUGUUACAUAU